CACUUGCUGUUUGGAUGUUUGGAUAGUUGUAUGGUAUGUGAACAAUCUCAAUCAAAAGAAACACACACACACACACACACACACACACACACACUUGCUGUUUAAUUCCCCAGGGAUAUGAAGCGCUUCUCCAAACUCAGAAAGCCUUCCUGAGAGGCGUGAUGUGCUCCUGCGCCUCCUGCCCGCCCGCCCCGGCGGCCUCCGGCCGUGCGGCCGUGCGCUGCACCGCCCCACGCGCCCCAGGCCGUGCGCUGCACCGCCCCACGCGCCCCAGGCCUCGCAGGCCGCGCGUCAGCCCCGAGAAGCGACGGUUUGGGAAACUCGCAGCCUCCGCCCGCCGCAGCCGCCGGGGCCAACGACUUCCCCUCCCCGCCAGGGUGUGGGAUGUUUUAAAAGUAAAUGACAUGAUGAAUUAAGAAGCUUACAACAAUGCCUGGAACAUGGUGCAGAGACCGGGAAAUCCUAACCAAGUCCUCAGAGAACCUGAUUUGCUCUAAGAGGUGGCCCUGGAUUGUUCUCAUGGGUGAGGCCUUCCAGCCUGGGCAGCCCUUCCGGUGAAGGUCUGACUUCCCUGGUCACCAGCUUUAUUCGUUCUAUCUAGUGGAGUUUUGGUUCCCAGGGAAUAUACUUGCCCCUCCCUUCUAAUAUGAAGUAUCUACUGUAGUCCAGUGAUCUUUAUCCCAGUUUUGAAUUCACCUUGACCCCCACCCAAUGCCUUACUAUUUUUUUUUUUCUUUUUUUUUUUUUUUUUUU